rnacentral:rRNA from 1 species
AAGACGGACUUAGUGAUCCGGUGGUUCCGCAUGGAAGGGCCAUCGCUCAACGGAUAAAAGCUACCCCGGGGAUAACAGGCUUAUCUCCCCCAAGAGUUCACAUCGACGGGGAGGUUUGGCACCUCGAUGUCGGCUCAUCGCAUCCUGGGGCUGUAGUCGGUCCCAAGGGUUGGGCUGUUCGCCCAUUAAAGCGGUACGCGAGCUGGGUUCAGAACGUCGUGAGACAGUUCGGUCCCUAUCCGUCGUGGGCGUAGGAAAUUUGAGAGGAGCUGUCCUUAGUACGAGAGGACCGGGAUGGACAUACCUCUGGUGUACCAGUUGUCGUGCCAACGGCAUAGCUGGGUAGCUAUGUGUGGACGGGAUAAGUGCUGAAAGCAUCUAAGCAUGAAGCCCCCCUCAAGAUGAGAUUUCCCAACUUCGGUUAUAAGAUCCCUCAAAGAUGAUGAGGUUAAUAGGUUCGAGGUGGAAGCAUGGUGACAUGUGGAGCUGACGAAUACUAAUCGAUCGAAGACUUAAUCAAAUU